GUCCAAGCCCGUAGGGAGUCACUGUAGGCAAAUCCGCAGUGGCAAUCCUGAAAGGUGAUGGGGAGCAAAAUUUUGCGAACUUGCUGAUUCCACACUGACAAGAAAAGCCUCUACCGAGAUAAUAGGUGCCCGUACCGCAAACCGACACAGGUAGGCGAGGAGAGAAUCCUAAGGCGAGCGAGAGAACUGCUGUUAAGGAACUCGGCAAAAUGACCCCGUAACUUCGGGAGAAGGGGUGCCACGGUAGGGUUAAAAGCCCGAGGUGGCCGCAGAGAAUAGGCCCAAGCGACUGUUUACCAAAAACACAGGUCUCUGCUAAAUCGAAAGAUGAAGUAUAGGGGCUGACGCCUGCCCGGUGCUGGAAGGUUAAGGUGAGUAGUUAGCGAAAGCGAAGCUGCAAGCCGAAGCCCCAGUAAACGGCGGCCGUAACUAUAACGGUCCUAAGGUAGCGAAAUUCCUUGUCGGGUAAGUUCCGACCCGCACGAAAGGCGUAACGAUUUGGGCACUGUCUCAACAGCAGGCUCGGUGAAAUUGUAGU
rnacentral:ncRNA from 1 species